UAAAAUUUCACAUAAAAUGUAGUUUUUGGUUAUUUACAGCCUGUGCUUAGACAAAUGACUUAUCUUUUCUGUGUGUCAGUAUAUAUUUUUUUAUUUUUUGUACGUGUUAAACGGAGGUGAUUUUGCUCAAGCUCAUGAGGCAGGUUGUGAGGACCAAAUAGAACAGCUGCUGGCCUCUCACAAGCCUGUAGUGAUGGUACAGUGUGAUAGUUAUUACGACACAGCAGUCUCACGUGAUGGCCUGUUUCCUUCAGGCUGGGAAGCUGCCAGAGCAGAGCCUGCGUGGGAUUCCUCUCUGGUUCCUAGCACAAUGCUUACUGUUUGCUAGGCAGUCAUGACGUUGGGUGAGUGAGUGAGAAGCUGAGGAAAGGCACGGCAAAUUCCAGCUGGGUUGCUGAGAGAGAAUCAGGUUUAUCGACGAGGAGGUCUAAUCCCAAAGAUUCAAGUAAUGGACUGUGCUGAAUUAUGGGACCUGACGACCUGGUAGUAUUCCAAGCCUGUUGCAGGGUCCUGAUGUCCUUUGCCCUGACGGGCUUGAAUCUUUGACUCUACACACCUCUCCAGUUGCUGUGGCAGAAAUUUGCUUUCAUGCAGGGUCAAGCGAGCAGAGGUGCCACUCCAUGAU